UAAGCGAAGGGCCACCAGAUAGGGA
rnacentral:piRNA from 1 species